rnacentral:lncRNA from 10 species
GCACACACCUUAAACAAACAAUGAAAGCCACCAGACAGAAACCUCUAGCACUUUCUUAUUUCUAGUGCUGGGAUUAAUACGUCCUCCUUUUGAGUACUGAAUAUGGUAGGUCCCAUUUUCUCACACUGAGAAAAAAGUCAAAGAUAGGUUCUCUCCAUUCCCCAAUCCCCUCCACCAAACCAAACCAAACAAAAAAUUGGAAAAGGGUGAAUGUGCAGUAAAGUCUCCAUGUUAGAAAGUGCCUUUUCACUUUGGAAAAGUUAAUUUUAUAAAACAACUUGGUUGACCAUUCACUUUUCUCCACAGGGGAUGAAAAGGAAGGGGUGCCGCAGCUUGCACAGAAGGUAUGGGAAUGGCAUUACUGCUUUAUUCUUUGCCUUGGUCUACACAGGAAUAAAGCACUAUGCUUGUCUCAAUAGGUGACAAAGAAAAGGAAAGAAAAAGAACCAACACUUUUUAGUGAAUUAAGACCUGAAAUGGCUAAGUUUCCAGAUUAUGUAUUUCUUCAUUUAUUUCAAAAGAAUCUGUAUGUUUGGCAAGAGUUGAGUCAUUGUGUUAAAAUGAAAUAACGCCAAGAAAAUCUCACCUUAGGAAAUAUGUACCUUUUAAAUAUAAAGUUAAAUGAAAGAACAAACAAUAUUUGUUAAAUGAGGAAGGCUUGGAUAAAUUUGAUAAAUAUAAGCCAUUCUUCAGGAUCAUUUAGUAAAGAGCAACAAAAUAUUUAGAAACAUUAAUGCACUACAAUUUCACCAGUAUAUUUCUAUUUAAUGCAACUAAAUUUGUGGCUCUGUUUCACUCAUUUCCCAUGUCUAAACACUAAAACGCAAAUGUUAUAUUAAUGGUAAAUUUAAUAUAAUAAUGUCAAGGUUUUUCUACCCUGUUCAAGGCACCCCACUGAAACUAUCAUACCUGGGUUCCAUAAAACCAGACCCCCAGGCACAAGCAUUUUGCAAGUUCUGAGUGUGAAUAUUUUCCUGGCUUGGAAUAGGAGUAAGGGCUAUAUUUAAGGACAAGUGAAACCAGCCUAUUAGGUUUAAAAAUACAGGAAGUGUUUAACCCAACCUAUGCCAAUCAACAUUCCCAGCUCAAUCCAGAGGCACUCAUGGUGGGGGAAGAGAAGAGACUUGCAUCUGGACAUGGCAGCCGUGGGCUGGUUGUCAACACACCAGGGAAGAACACAAAUGCAGACCCCGUGAGGGUGGGCAGUGCUAGCCCCAUUUAUGCUACUAUUUGCUGGAUUGAGUCUGUUACGCACCUUCUCUAUGCCUCAGCUUUCUCAUCUGUAAUAUGUGGGGUAGAUUAUAUGAAUCUAUCUUUAAAAUACUAAGAUUUGAAUGCUCUAUAGAAAUACUGUGAGUUUAAAUUUGACUUACAGGAAAAGGCAUGAUGAGCUUGUGAUUCUUGUAAAAAUGAAUGGAAGAGAAAAACCCAGUU